rnacentral:rRNA from 1 species
UGCAUAGGGGGCAAGCGUUGUCCGGGAUGAUUGGGCGUAAAGGGCGCGUAGGCGGCCCGGUAAGUCUGAAGUGAAGGUCCUGUUUUUAAGAUGGGAAUUGCUUUGGAUACUGUCGGGCUUGAGUGCAGGAGAGGUAAGUGGAAUUCCCAGUGUAGCGGUGAAAUGCGUAGAGAUCGGGAGGAACACCAGUGGCGAAGGCGACUUACUGGACUGUAACUGACGCUGAGGCGCGAAAGUGUGGGGAGCAAAC